rnacentral:rRNA from 1 species
UGGGGAAUUUUGGACAAUGGGCGAAAGCCUGAUCCAGCCAUGCCGCGUGAGUGAAGAAGGCCUUCGGGUUGUAAAGCUCUUUUAGUCGGAAAGAAAGAGUCGCAAUGAAUAAUUGUGAUUUAUGACGGUACCGACAGAAAAAGCACCGGCUAACUACGUGCCAGCAGCCGCGGUAAUACGUAGGGUGCGAGCGUUAAUCGGAAUUACUGGGCGUAAAGGGUGCGCAGGCGGUUUUGCAAGUCAGAUGUGAAAGCCCCGGGCUUAACCUGGGAAUUGCGUUUGAAACUACAAGGCUAGAGUGCAGCAAAGGGGAGUGGAAUUCCAUGUGUAGCAGUGAAAUGCGUAGAGAUGUGGAAGAACACCGAUGGCGAAGGCAGCUCCCUGGGUUGACACUGGCGCUCA